rnacentral:lncRNA from 1 species
GGGGCACCCCGGGAGUGAAGGGUUAACCCUUCUCAGUGGUUGUUGUUCCUGGGGCACAUCCAGUAUUCAAAGAACCCUUGUGUGGUAGUUUGCAUGUUAUUGGCCCCCAUAAUCUCACAGGGAGUGGCACUAUUAGGAGGUGUGGCUUUGUUGGAGGAAGUGUGUCACUGUGGGGGAGGGCUUUGAGGUUUCCUAUGCUCAGGAUACUGCCCAGUGUCUGAGUCCACUUCCUGUUGCCUUCUGAUCAAGAUGUAGCCAGCACCGUGUCUGCCUGCAUGCUGUCAUGUUCCCUGCCAUGAUGAUGAUGGACUGAACCUCUGAACUGACCUUCUAGUCAACCAAUAUUAAACCUCCCCUCCUCCAAAUCUUCCUGGAAGGAAUCAAAGCUCCAGAAAACUCUAAAAUAUUACAACAGUGAACACCUACGUGCAGACGGUGAGGGUUCUAAAAUCAGGUGUGGCUUUCAAUCUACAGUAUUGUGUUCAUCGGACCUGGGGCAAGUAAUUUAAACUCUCCAAACUUCCGUUUCCACAGCCAUAAAAUUGUGGGAAUAUACCUCAUGAAGGUCCCAUAAAGAAACACUUAAUAUCUGCCAAAUAAUUGCUGAAUGCCAGACUCAGAUGUAAGGGCUAAAAGUCUUAACUCACUUAGAAAUUACAAGUACCUUGGGAGAGUCCUGUUCAUCCUCAUUCUGAAGAUGAAGAAAGUGACAGACGGGGCUGCAGAGUGGUCACGAGCCCGCGCUGCUUCCAGAAAGACCCAGUUCAGUUUCUGUCACCUGCAUCAGGUGGCUCACAACUUCCUGAAACUCCAAUCCCAGGGGAUCUGACAUCCUCAUCUGGCCUCUGUGGGUGCUUACAUGUGUGUGUUGUGUAUACAUGUACUCAGGCACACAUACAAAUACAGAAAAUAAAGAUAGGCAUUUUGUCCCUUAAAGUGAGGGACAAAGAGGAUUUAAAAAAAUAAAAUGAGUUCAAGGUCACUCAAUGGAAUUGUAGAAUUACAAGUGGAACCAAAUCAUCUCACUGCAAAGCCAGGACUCCAGAGCACUGACCCAGCAAUCUGCCUUAGUGGCAACACCCCACCUUCCCCAGAUGGGUCUGAAGAGCAGCUGGAUUGGGAUAAGGAGAUGAGGACACUGACAAGGCCAGUGUCUUGUCUUGAAUUCUAUUUCCAAGAAUUCCCCAAGGGACAGCAGCAUCCAAAACUCCCUAAGGACCCUGCUGGCUCAGUGUGUGGUCAGUUCUGAACAGCCCUCCACUGUCUAAUUGCCACAUCAUUCAAGCAGCUCAUUUAUGAGAGCUUUUUAUUAUUCCCCAGGGAGUGUGAAAACCUCCUCAUGAAUAUCUCAUCCAAAAUGCCAGAGGCAAGAUUGACUUAGCCAGGAUCUGUGGCAGAUGAGGUUCUGUGAGCUAGAGGCUGGUUGCCCUUAGUCAGGUGUCCACUGUAUGCCAUCACAAACCAAAGAGAACGAGUGCAGCCACAUGAGCCGAGCUUUGAUCUCACAGGUGCAAGCAAAUCCCAAACUCUCUCUUGGCAUCGCUGUAUCUGGUGCCACACUCUAUGCUGAGUGACUGACUUACACAACCCAGUCUAAUCACCGUGAGGACAUAAUUAUUUUAUUGAUCACACAGAUGUUGCAAAAGGCGCUCCAAUACUGCCACUUCAAGCCGUGUAAGUGCAACUAACCCUGAAGAUCCACAUUCUCUGGAAACCCUACUUUUAAGACAAGAUUUAUUUGUUUAUUUUUAUUUUAUGUGAAUGUUGGUGCCUGAGUGUAUGCAUGUACACGCAGUGACCUCGGAGACCGGAAGAGGGCAUCAGACCCCGAAACUACAGUUACUGAAGGUGGGCAGUGAAUGUGGGUGCCGGGACGCGAACUUGGGUCUUCUGCAGGAGUUUCCAGAACUUUUUUUUUUUUUUUUUUUGCUAGGGUUGUCAGUACAUUUCUGUGCUAUAAUAGAAUGCCACAGGUUGGGUGUCUUGUAUGCAAGACAUAUCUUCUUGAAUUUUUAGACUCUGAGAAGUCCAAGAUGGAGGCAUGUGUUUCACAGCUCAGAGAGGUAAAAGCACAGGCCACUCAGGCCUGACAUCGUGAGUUCAGUCCCCAGAAACCACACAAAAAGCUAGAUGCCAUUGUGUGUAUCUGCAGUCCCAGAACGCCUGUGGUGAGAUGGGAGAUGGAGCUGGGAUCACUGUCUUAGCUAGGGUUUCUGUUGCUGUGAUGAAACACCAUGACCAAAGCAAGCUGGGAGAAAAGAGUUUAUUCAGCUCACACUUCCACAUCACUGUGAUCACUGAAGGAAGAGGGCGGGAACCUGGAGGCAGGAGCUGGUGCAGAAGCAUGAAGGAACGCUGCUUACUGACUGGUUCCCCACGGCUUGCUCAGCCUGCUUUCUAUAGAGCCCAGGUCCAUGCACUAUGGCGGAGCCUGCCCCAUCAAUCACUAACCGGAAAAACUGCUUUACAGGAUUGCCUG